AGAGAGAAAGGAUGUAGUUCAGAAAUUAUAAUGUGAAGAGCAUUUCAAAAUAAACCGCGCAUAUUUCUUUCGAGAGUGUUGCUUUGAUAAAGUUCAAUGUCAACAGCAGCUGGCUUCACCAGUAAAAUUUCAGACUGAAUCGACGAUCUUAAUUGGGAAUUUUUGACCAGAGAACGUUACACUGGCCAGCCUGCAUACCGGGAAAGUAAAAUUAUUUUGAACAACUGCAAGAUAGAGAUUUUGCUGUCAGUAUAGCUUGUUGAUAGUGUGAAGUGUGGGUGCUGUUCCGUUAUCAGCAGACCCGUUCGUAAUUGUUUAUCUUCUAUAACUGUGACUUUCAAUAACAAAACUCUUCACCUGCAUACAGAGACGAGCAAUACGCUAUGAAACCACGAUACUGAAUGUUACGAAAAUUCACUUUCACACACCAAAACAUAUUACACAGUGUAGAUGGGCGGAUAGAAAGCGUGAACAUCAAAAGCCAUCGUGUGUUACCCAGUUUCCAUUCUGCAUCUAACAAUAGGAACCAAGCAUCCAACAUCAUAACUUUAUUAUUAUAUAGUCCAGACAAUGAAUGCUCAAAAGAGGGUAUAGAGAGAAAGGUUUGGAAGACUAUAUUUGACCCCGCAAUUUUGUUUUGGGUAUUAAGGAGGUAAAAAUAUCCCCACCCUUCCCCUUGUGAUAAGGGGGUGGGGUGGUUCAAAGGUACCAGUUUUUGGUUUCUCGCAUAUAACUCGAAAACUAUGUAUCUUACGGACAUAACUGUUACAUACAAAAGUAUUAUAUAAUUUUUAUAAUUUCCUACAAUAUUCAUCUCACAACUUUUCUAGUUUUCGAGAUAUCCGCUCUUAAAUGUGUGACAUUUUUGAAAAAAACACGUUCGCCUCCAAUUUUUUUCUAUCUCUACUCUUAUAACUUUUUAAAAAUUGAUGGGAAAAAUCAAUGCAGAUUAUGAGCUCAUAGAGCCUCUUUCAGGAAUUAUAACUCUCCAACAAUGCAUCGUAAAAAUCAAUGCUUAUCGUAGGUUUAUAGAGCAUUAAAUUCUCUUUUAAAUGGUUUAUUAUUUCACUAUUCAAAGUUUCUGUUUCAUUGUUAUAGCAACUUUAAUGUAGGGGAUGAAAUUUCCAAUGCUACAACAAUAUUAUUAUUCAUUUGGCAAUGAAAUUUGAAGCGGGUGUCUGUGACACAAUUUUUGACGUUGCAGCUUAAUUUUGACUAGUUAGUAGAUUAACAUAGCAAAAGUGCACAUCUUUAUCCCCUCUGUUGAAGGUUUGGAACCACUGAGUUGACACUAGUUGCAAUAUUGAAAAUGUUGCUACAUUGCACUAUCAUUUUUGAUCAUUUGUUACAUCACACAACUAUUAUAUGAAUACUUUGUAUUGUUGUAACCAAAUUGAAUCAAUUGACAAUUCCUUUUUUACUGCUUAUUCAAAUUUACUAUUUUGUUAUUUUUGAUUUUCAUUAAACGUCUUUUUUCCUACUUAGUGCAGUCAUCAUAACUUUUAAGGCCAUUUGUAAAGUGUCACUUAUAUCAAUAAAUGCAAUCAUUUGUUAUUGUUACAUUGUCUUACAAUUUCUUGGCGUCUACCUUGCUACCAGGUAUUUAGUAGUUUUACUCAUAAGUUUUAUGUGAGUUUGGGUAAAGGUAUUGAUGAACAACAUCAGCCUUCUAUUAAUUAUAUUUAUUAUUUAACAUACAUUUCAUUCAACUUAGUAUACAGUCCACUUGAAGUCCCUCAUACCAAACACAUCAGAUACAUAGUUUUCGAGUUAUAUGUGAGAAACCAAAAAAAUUUAUCUUUAAAACACCCCCACCCCCUUAGCACAAGGGGUGGGGGGGACUUUUGAUAUGUUUACCCCCUUACCACCCUAAACAGAACUGCGGGGCCAAAAAUUGUCUUCCAAACUUUUCCCCUCUAUAACCUUUCCUUGACUGCACUGUAUAAUUAUCAUCCAGUUAAUUUUGAUAUCACAUUAAUUAAAAAGCUUCCCUCAUAGUAUAAUUUUUCAAUAUUUUACCAAUUUUAUAAUACACAAGAAAUCAAUAUAUUACCGAGGUUGUCAAAGAUGUGAAUUUUCAAUGUGUUUUGAUGUAAAUUAUUGCAAAAAACUAAUAUCAUGGUUAGCUAUGCAUAAAGAGGCAUGAUAGCAUGAUGGUCAUUCUUUACUGAAUCGAAAUAAGCUGUUAUAACUUUUUCUACUAUUAAUUUGGUUUUCAAUAAACUAGUUAUGAUCAGAUGCAUUACUAAAUGCAAAAUUCAUGUCGGUUAUGUAGCUUUUCUGCAAUAAACUAGAAUUACUCAAUAA
rnacentral:lncRNA from 1 species